GUACGUUAUAAAAUACAUACAAAUAAUAUAUGCAAGAAUUUUUGUUUUGUUUUUGCAUGUUGAGAGAAAUAUUACAGUGGCAUAUGUUAUUUUUUGGGUAAAAGAGUACAGACUACAGACAUUAGAAAUGAGCUGGUUUACAAAACCUUGAAAGUUGUAACAUAUAGGUUUAAGAAAGUAUCCAUUUUUAAAAAAAUAUUUAAU